UCUGAAUCUGCGUACGGCUCCGCAAACCAGUUGUAAACUAUAGCAAGCAUGCUCGGGAUUUGGCCCUCACGGGUUGGGUUUCGGGUGAUAAGGAUAACCCUGGUAAUUCUGAGGCUAAUACUAGAACGCAAAAACUUGACUGACCGGUUUUACUGGGAGGUUGGGGGGCGUGCAAGUGGGUUUCGCAUAGGAUAACCGGGAAGGGGUGCACGUUUGGACCGCGAUAAAGACAGACUGGUUUCGGCCGGCCUGAGCGGCACUUGCGUUGUGCUUCUGACCUAUCAACUAGAUGGCAGCGUAACGGACAUGCU
rnacentral:rRNA from 1 species